CCUACGGGUGGCAGCAGUGGGGAAUAUUGGGCAAUGGGCGCAAGCCUGACCCAGCAACGCCGCGUGAAGGAAGAAGGCUUUCGGGUUGUAAACUUCUUUUGUCAGGGAAGAGUAGAAGACGGGACCUGACGAAUAAGCCACGGCUCACUACGUGCCAGCAGCCGCGGUAAUACGUAGGUGGCAAGCGGUGUCCGGAUUUACUGGGUGUAAAGGGCGGGUAGCCGGGUUGACAAGUCAGAUGGGAAAUCCUGCGGCUUAACCGCAGAACUGCAUUUGAAACUGUUGAUCUUGAGUACUGGAGAGGCAGCUGGAAUUCCUAGUGUAGCGGUGAAAUGCGUAGAUAUUAGGAGGAACACCAGUGGCGCAGGCGGUCUGCUGGACAGCAACUGACGGUGAGGCGCGAAAGCGUGGGGAGCAAACAGGAUUAGAUACCCCUGUAGUC
rnacentral:rRNA from 1 species